UAGGGAAUCUUCCACAAUGGGCGCAAGCCUGAUGGAGCAACACCGCGUGAGUGAAGAGGGGUUUCGGCUCGUAAAGCUCUGUUGUUAAAGAAGAACAUGUAUGAGAGUAACUGUUCAUACGUUGACGGUAUUUAACCAGAAAGUCACGGCUAACUACGUGCUAG
rnacentral:rRNA from 1 species